UACGUAGGGGGCAAGCGUUGUCCGGAUUUAUUGGGCGUAAAGAGCGUGUAGGCGGCUGGAUAGGUCCGUUGUGAAAACUCGAGGCUCAACCUCGAGACGCCGAUGGAAACCAUCUAGCUAGAGUCCGGAAGAGGAGAGUGGAAUUCCUGGUGUAGCGGUGAAAUGCGCAGAUAUCAGGAAGAACACCCGUGGCUAAGGCGGCUCUCUAGUACGGUACUGACGCUGAGACGCGAAAGCGUGGGGAGCGAACAGG
rnacentral:rRNA from 1 species